rnacentral:rRNA from 1 species
UACGGAGGAUGCGAGCGUUAUCCGGAUUUAUUGGGUUUAAAGGGUGCGUAGGCGGACUGUCAAGUCAGCGGUAAAAUUGAGAGGCUCAACCUCUUCCCGCCGUUGAAACUGGUGGUCUUGAGUGGAUGAGAAGUACGCGGAAUGCGUGGUGUAGCGGUGAAAUGCAUAGAUAUCACGCAGAACUCCGAUUGCGAAGGCAGCGUACCGCCAUCCAACUGACGCUGAGGCACGAAAGCGUGGGGAUCAAACAGG